rnacentral:misc_RNA from 1 species
UACAGAGGUGGCAAGCGUUGUUCGGAAUCACUGGGCUUAAAGGGCGUGCAGGCGGCCAAGUAAGCGUUUUGUGAAAUCCCUCGGCUUAACCGAGGAAUUGCUUGACGAACUGCUUGGCUCGAGGCAGAUAGGGGCAACUGGAACUCUGGGUGGAGCGGUGAAAUGCGUAGAUAUCCAGGGGAACGCCGGUGGUGAAAACGGGUCGCUGGGUCUGUCCUGACGCUGAGGCGCGAAAGCUAGGGGAGCGAACGGG